CUGCUGCCUCCCGUAGGAGUCUGGUCCGUGUCUCAGUACCAGUGUGGGGGGCCUUCCUCUCAGAACCCCUGCGCAUCGUCGCCUCGGUGGGCCGUUACCCCGCCGACUAGCUAAUGCGCCGCAUGCCCAUCCGUGGCCGGGAUUGCUCCCUUUGGCGGCCUUGGGAUGUCCCUAGGCCGCGUUACGCGGUAUUAGACGGGGUUUCCCCCGCUUAUCCCCCUGCCACGGGCAGGUUGCAUACGUGUUACUCACCCGUGCGCCGGUCGCCGG
rnacentral:rRNA from 1 species